rnacentral:rRNA from 1 species
UACGGAGGGUGCAAGCGUUAUCCGGAUUCACUGGGUUUAAAGGGUGCGUAGGUGGGCAGGUAAGUCAGUGGUGAAGUCUCCGGGCUUAACCCGGAAACUGCCAUUGAUACUAUCUGUCUUGAAUACCGUGGAGGUGAGCGGAAUAUGUCAUGUAGCGGUGAAAUGCUUAGAUAUGACAUAGAACACCAAUUGCGAAGGCAGCUCACUACGCGAAUAUUGACACUGAGGCACGAAAGCGUGGGGAUCAAACAGG